rnacentral:antisense_RNA from 1 species
CCCCCCCCCCCCCAACUUUCUCCAAAUGGAACUGGAUCCCUAUUUAACCCCUCCAGAAAAUCCUGCAUCCCUCGACAAGAAAAAAGAGCAAAUUGAAAAAAAACAUGCAAAUGAAAAAAAAAAUAAGAUUCAAGCAAAACUGCUGCUAUAAUUGAAAGAUUAAAGGUAACCUAAGCUAAGGGAAUUUCAAUUAUUCGUCCUCCUCAAUUGCGAGUCUGGCAUUCUUGUUCAAAACCUUUAAGUUCAACUGCUCAGCUCUCUCCAAAAUCUCUCUUCUCUUACGACUACUUACUCCAGAUGCAAUCUCAACACAGAAAGUCUUGUUAUGCAUUAAAAGCAUAUGAACUUCCUGGGGAUUUGAUACAGUGAAUUUAUACAAACCAUUUGGAAGCAUCUUACGUGUCUUGGCAUCACUACCAUAACCAAUCUUUGGCAUUAAAUAAUUACCCUUGAAUUUUCUACGUACACGACAAUCAAUACCUUUUGGUUUUCUCCAGUUUGGCUUGACUCUUAAGAAGCGAUCAGAUUGGAAUCUGGUGAACUUUUUUGUUCUCUUCUUAAUGAUUGCCUUUUUUGGCUUAUUCUUAAAGCUUACGAUGGACAUCCUCUUAAUUUAAAAAGAAAUUAGACCUGUGAAAUCUUCUAUAACAGAAAUAGCAAGUUAGUAUUUUUUUUUUUUCUGAGUGGAAAAAAAAAUCAAUUAACUUGUUUCUAAAUUAAUCCAAACUUUC